GGGGCUUUGCGGACGCAAGCACGUCGAAGCGCUGCUCCGGGAGCCGCGGAGGCUGCGGGUUUGGCUGCGGCGGUUGCUGUGGCGGAGGUUGGAGGUUGGAGAGAAAUCCAGGUACUCACUUGACUGGUACCUUCUGCCACCAUGGGGGAGCUUUUCCGGAGUGAAGAAAUGACACUGGCCCAGCUUUUUCUACAGUCAGAAGCUGCUUAUUGUUGCGUCAGUGAAUUAGGAGAACUUGGAAAGGUUCAGUUCCGUGACUUAAAUCCAGAUGUGAAUGUUUUCCAACGGAAAUUUGUGAAUGAAGUUAGAAGAUGUGAAGAAAUGGAUCGAAAGCUUCGAUUUGUUGAGAAAGAGAUAAGAAAAGCUAACAUUCCGAUUAUGGACACCGGUGAAAACCCAGAGGUUCCCUUCCCCCGGGACAUGAUUGACUUAGAGGCCAAUUUUGAGAAGAUUGAAAAUGAACUGAAGGAAAUCAACACAAACCAGGAAGCUCUGAAGAGAAACUUCCUGGAACUGACUGAAUUAAAAUUUAUACUUCGCAAAACUCAGCAAUUUUUUGAUGAGGUCAGACUAUUGUUUCUUUUAGUAUUUGAGCAGCUGAUAUUACACUCACACAAGUGGGCCAUAUUUUUAUUCCAGUAAUUAUUUUAAUUUGCUAGUUUGGAAGCAAUGCCAUUUUUGCGCCCUGUUUUAGUUAAAGAAAUGUGAGAUUAUGUUCCAUUUUUCAUGCAGUACACAACCAGCCAUGGUUUUGCAUUUUUUCACAUUUUCUUCAAUUUUUCAUCUCAAUAUGAGGAAAGGAACCCUGAAGUAGUUGUAUAAACAUAGUUAGUAUAAAUUUUUACAUUAUAUUUAUACUUAUAAGGUAAGUAUAUGCUUAAGGUCAAAGCUGAAGAAACAAACAUUUGGUUAUAGACAAAAUUAUAACAAAGGUUUAAUCACCAAACCUUUUGUCAUCAAAUUUUUAUUUCAUUCCCUAUGUUUGCUUAUAAACCUUCGAGCACAUUUUUUAGUACUUCAGAUAGCACACAUCACACUAAUUUUUCAAGAGUUUUUCAUUGUAUUUAUCGUAUGGAAAAUAUUGGUAGGAUGCUUGUUUGAAACUUCUGGAUUAUCACAUAAACUUAGAUGCAUUACCUUAGAGGGAAAAAUGUUAGUAAGUUCUUGGGUUAAAUAUGUAGGUGAGGCCAGGCAUGGUGGCUCAUGCCUGUAGUCCUUGCACUUUGGGAGGCCGAGGCAGGUGGAUCACCUGAGGUCAGGAGUUCGAGAUCAGCCUGGCCAACAUGGUGAAACCCGGUCUCUACUAAAAAUACAAAAACUAGCCGGGUGAGGUUGUGGGUGCCUGUAAUCCCAGCUACUCGAGAGGCUGAGGCAGGAAAAUCAUUUGAACCUGGGAGGUGGACAUUGCAGUGAGCUGAGAUCGCUCCACUACACUCCAGCCUGGGCGACAGAGUGAGACUCUACCUCAAAAAAAAAAAAUGUAGGCUGGGUGCGGUGGCUCACGCCUGUAAUCCCAGCACUUUGGGAGGCUGAGGCGGGUGGAUCACGAGGUCAGGUGAUCGAGACCAUCCUGGCUAACAUGGUGAAACCCCGUCUCUACUAAAAAAAUACAAAAAAUUAGCCGGACAUGGUGGCGGGUGCCUGUAGUCCCAGCUAAUCAGGAGGCUGAGGCAGAAGAAUGGCGUGAACCCGGGAGGCGGAGCUUACAGUGAGCCGAGAUGGUGCCACUGCACUCCAGCCUGGGUGACAGAGCAAGACUCUGUCUCAAAAAAAAAAAAAAAAAAAAGA
rnacentral:sRNA from 1 species